rnacentral:rRNA from 1 species
UGGGGAAUAUUGGGCAAUGGGCGAAAGCCUGACCCAGCAACGCCGCGUGAGGGAAGAAGGCCUUCGGGUUGUAAACCUCUGUCUUUGGUGACGAAACAAAUGACGGUAGCCAAAGAGGAAGCCCCGGCUAACUACGUGCCAGCAGCCGCGGUAAUACGUAGGGGGCGAGCGUUGUCCGGAAUUACUGGGCGUAAAGGGUGCGUAGGUGGCCUUUUAAGUUGGAUGUGAAAUCCCCGGGCUUAACUUGGGUGGUGCAUCUAAUACUGGAGGGCUAGAGUGCAGGAGAGGAAAGCGGAAUGCCUAGUGUAGCGGUGAAAUGCGUAGAUAUUAGGAGGAACACCAGUGGCGAAGGCGGCUUUCUGGACUGUAACUGACACUGAGGCGCGAAAGCGUGGGGAGCAAACA